rnacentral:rRNA from 1 species
AACGAACGCUGGCGGCAGGCUUAACACAUGCAAGUCGAGCGCCCCGCAAGGGGAGCGGCAGACGGGUGAGUAACGCGUGGGAAUCUACCCAUCUCUACGGAAUAACGCAUGGAAACGUGUGCUAAUACCGUAUACGUCCUUCGGGAGAAAGAUUUAUCGGAGAUGGAUGAGCCCGCGUUGGAUUAGCUAGUUGGUGGGGUAAAGGCCUACCAAGGCGACGAUCCAUAGCUGGUCUGAGAGGAUGAUCAGCCACACUGGGACUGAGACACGGCCCAGACUCCUACGGGAGGCAGCAGUGGGGAAUAUUGGACAAUGGGCGCAAGCCUGAUCCAGCCAUGCCGCGUGAGUGAUGAAGGCCCUAGGGUUGUAAAGCUCUUUCACCCGGGAUGAUAAUGACAGUACCGGGAGAAUAAGCUCCGGCUAACUCCGUGCCAGCCGCCGCCGUAAAAC